rnacentral:rRNA from 1 species
AUGUCUAAAUGUAAACAGCGAAUUCAAGAUUUCAGUAAAAUGUCACAAGUACAAAUUCAUACUUCAGUAGUCAUUGACCUGAAGACUUUUUUUAAAAGGCUUCCUUGCAAGCUAUCUAAUCCACGCAUUGAAAAAAAUUCAGGCAAGAUACCCAUUUUUUACUGCCAAUGCCCUACCAAAAUUCACUUACCUAAUUUUCUUUUCCAGGAAAGAUAUAUCCAUUUUCCACAACCAGUUUAUGAAACGGCCACUGCCGUACCAAGUGCUGAACAUAUUGUCCUUUGUAUUAUAACAGAAUAG